UAAAUUGUAAUUAACAGCAAACACACUACGUUUUUACCCCACCAAUGAACAUAAGAAUUCUGAAUUAGGGAAUACAAGAUUAAAUAUGAACCAAUUUACAAACAUACAUACAUAUUCACACCUGUACAUAAUGGAGCCCUACGGAUAAACACAAUAAGAUUCCUUACUGGUACGUAAAAGUAUCCAAAUAUUCAAUCCACUUAUAUGGAUAUGGAUUUCACCUGAAAUAAAACGAAACUCCCCCAAUAAUAAAGAGAGCCUUGGUUUGGCGAUCUGCAAUUCCGGAUAAUGCAUUAAGGAUAAGGGCAUUCGAAGCUUCGGCUUCCAAAAUUGGCCUCCCUUUCUCGUAAGACACAACAAACUACAUUCCGCGCCGUAUCGACCGAUACCCCCGAUUUUCCUUCCUCUGGAGGUGUUCGUUCGGUCUAGUAUGUGGAUAGAUGGUAACGAGAGCGAACUAGGGUUGAAGUCAAACAUAUGUAAGGAUGAUUGACAGCUAAUGGAAACAAAAGCAAUUCGAAUAUACGUGUGUGCAUGUGUAAGAUGCAAAUGAAUUGCAAAACAAGAAACAAAUUAAUAUCCGCUUAACUGCUACAAAUAUCAUUAGGCAUCUUGUGCACACAAAAACACACGUAACAACACUAAUUUGAAUCGGCCAAAAUACGGAUUACGGAUGGGCUCGUGACAAAGUACCGAUUACUAUUCGUUCCGAUCACUCUAAGUAUUCACAAUCUUUGAAAUUCCACUUUGAUGUGCCGGCAAUAACAAAAAACAUGAUGGUUUUGUUAAUGGAUUUCUAUAAAGGCUUCCGACUGUUAAAAGACCCGACUGGAAGAACACCCGUGGCGAUAAUUUAAAGCCACUGUCUAAGCCAGCAUACCUUUCUAUACCCUUUUAUGCGUGGGGUAUGGAGGCUUGGCCAACUGACUGCAAUAAGCAUAGCGAGCUAUUUUAAGUUUUUGCUGGAUCUUUCAUUUAUUUCAAAUGUUUAAUAACAUUUGAAUGCAUCGUAAUUCAGGUAAGAUUCAAAUAUAUUUUACAAGAUAUCAGCAAGU